CAGCAGCCACGGUAAUACCGAGGGUGCAAGCGUUAAUCGGAAUUACUGGGCGUAAAGCGCGCGUAGGUGGUUUGUUAAGUUGGAUGUGAAAGCCCCGGGCUCAACCUGGGAACUGCAUCCAAAACUGGCAAGCUAGAGUACGGUAGAGGGUGGUGGAAUUUCCUGUGUAGCGGUGAAAUGCGUAGAUAUAGGAAGGAACACCAGUGGCGAAGGCGACCACCUGGACUGAUACUGACACUGAGGUGCGAAAGCGUGGGGAGCAAACAGGAUUAGAUACCCCCGUAGUCCCUGUCUCUUAUAC
rnacentral:rRNA from 1 species